rnacentral:rRNA from 1 species
CCGAGAAUAUUCGACAAUGGGCGAAAGCCUGAUCGAGCGACGCCGCGUGAUGGAUGAAGACCCUCUGGGUCGUAAACAUCUUUUAUGAGGGAGAAAGUUUAUUGAUAGUACCUCAAGAAUAAGGGGUUUCUAAACUCGUGCCAGCAGAAGCGGUAAUACGAGUGCCCCGAGCGUUAUCCGGAAUCAUUGGGCGUAAAGGGUGUGUAGGUGGUUAUGUUAGUCAGUUGUUAAAACCCGAAGCUUAACUUCGGAAUCGCGAUUGAAACGGCAUAACUAGAGGAUGGCAGGGAUAAGUGGAACUCAUGGAGUAGGGGUGAAAUCCGUUGAUAUCAUGGGGAACACCGAAAGCGAAGGCAGCUUAUUGGGCCAUUCCUGACACUGAAACACGAAAGCGUGGGUAGCGAAUGGGAUUAGAUACCCCCGUAGUCC